rnacentral:rRNA from 1 species
UCAAAUGAGGAAAGGCUUAUGGUGGAUACCUAGGAAACCUGAGACGAGGAAGGGCAUAGUAAUCGACGAAAUACUUCAGGGAGUUGAAAAUAAGCAUAGAUCCGGAGAUUCCCAAAUAGGGCAACCUUUCAAACUACUGCUAAAUCCAUGGGCAGGCAAGUGACAACCUAGCAAACUAAAAUAUCUUAGUAUCUAGAUAAAAAGAAAGCAAAAGUGAUUUCUGUAGUAGCAGCGAGUGAAAUGGGAGCAGCCUAAACCAUGAAAACGGGGUUAUGGGAGAGCAAUACAAGCAUUGUGCUGCUAGGCGAAGCAACCUGAAUGCUGCACCCUAGAUAGAAAAAGUCAAAAAGAUGAAAGCAUAACUAGCUUAUACUCUAACCCGAGUACCAUGGGGCACGUGGAAUCUCGUGUGAAUCAGCAAGGACCACCUUGCAAGGAUAAAUACUCCUGGGUGACCGAUAGCAAAGUAGUACCAUGAGGGAAGGGCAAAAAGAACCCCUAUCGGGGAGUGAAAUAGAAUAUAAAACCAUAAGCUCCCAAGCAGUGGAGGGAGCAAGGGCUCUGACCGUGUGCCUGUUGAAUAAUGAGCCAGCGACUCAUAGGUAGUGGCUUGGUUAAAAGAACCCACUGGAGCCAUAGCGAAAGAGAGUCUUCAUAGGGCAAUUGUCACUGCUUAUGGACCCAACCUGGGUGAUCUAUCCAUGACCAGGAUGAAGCUUGGGUGAAACUAAGUGGAGGUCCGAACUGACUGAUGUUGGAGAAUCAGCAAAUAAGUUGUGGUUAGGAGUGAAAUGCCACUCGAACCCAGAGCUAGAUGAUUCUCCCCGAAAUGAGUUCAGGCGCAGCAGUUAACUGGACAUCUAGGGGUAAAACACUAUUUUAGUGUGGGCCGCGAGGUAAACUCCGAAUACUAGGUAUGGCCUUAAAAAAGAGGGGUCAAAGUAGGCUAGUAAAACGAUGGGGGGUAAGCUUCAUUAACGAGAGGAAAACAACCUGGAUCACGACCUAAGGCCCCAAAAUGACCGCUCAGUGAUAAAGUAAGAAGGGGUGUAGAGACAGCCAGGAGGUUUUCCUUGAAGCAGGCACCCUUAAAAGAGAGCGUAAUAGCUCACUGAUCGAGCGCUCUUGCACCGAAGAUGAACGGGGCUAAGAGAUCUGCCAAAGCUGUGGGGUAUAAAAAUACAUCGAUAGGGGAGCAUUACGCCUUAGAGGGAAGCCUCCAUACGAGAGGUGGUAGAUAAAACAGAAGAGCGAAUGUUGGCUUGAUUAACGCAAACAUUGGUGAUAAUCCAACGCCCCAAAAACUGAAGGGUUCCUCUGCAAGGUUCAUCCAUGGAGGGUGAGUCAGGGCAUAAGAUCAGGCUGAAAGGCAUCGUCGAUAGACAACAGGUGAAUAUACCCGUACUACCCCUUGUUGGUCCCGAGGGAUGGAGAAGGCUAGGUUAGCCAAAAGAUGGUUAUCGAUUCAAGAAUGUAAGGUGUCCCUGCCCUUUUUUCUGGGUAAGAAGGGGUAGAGAAAAUGCCUUGAUCCAAUGUUCGAAUGCCAGGUGCUACGACACUGAAGUAACCCAUGCCAUACUCCUAGGAAAACCUCAAACAACUUUAAGCAAGAGGGAACCUGUACCAGAAACAGACACAGGUAGGUAAGUAGAGAAUACCUAGGGGCGCGAGACAACUCUCUCUAAGGAACUCGGCAAAAUAGCCCCAUAACUUUAGAGAAGUGGUGCCUCUUCACAUCACAAAGGGGCUCACAGUGACCAGGCCUACCAGGCCCAGGCGAUUAUUUACCAAAAACACAGGUCUCUGCAAAGUCAUAAGACAAUGUAUGGGGGCUGACACCUGCCCAGUGCCAGAAGGUCAAGGAAGUUGGUGACCUGAUGAUAGGGUAACGACGGUGAACGGCGGCCAUAACUAUAAUAGCCCUAAGGUAGCAAAAUUCUUUGUCGGGUAAGUUCCGACCCGCAUAAAAUGCGUAACGAUCUGGGCAUUGUCUCAAAGAGAGGCUAAUUUUAUUCGAAACCCCAAUUGUGAUAUCCCUUCUCUCCAACUUCAUACCUUGAAACAUACCCUUAUUAUAGAGAUAAAUGUGCUUUCACAUCUUCUUAACCUGAAAUGGCUGGGGAGAGGAAAGGUUCCUUUUUUUAGGGUACUUCCAAGAAUAGAUCCGGUGGAGAUAGGGUGGGUCCUGUAGCUCAGAGGAUUAGAGAACGCGGAUAUGAACCAUGGUGUCGUGGGUUUAAAUCCCUUCUCUCACACAAACGGCCCAAAAGGGAAAUACCUUUCCCUCUAGGGGUAGGAAAAUCAUGAUCGGGAUAGCGAACCAAAAGCUAUGGAACUUGGGUGUGGGUCUUUUGUCAAAAUGGAAUGGCUUUUAUUCUUCUCUUUUUAUUUAACGUGAAUGGGGGAAUCAUUACACAUCGUAUGCCCGAUCAACAUACUUUUUUAUUUUACGCCCCGUAACUCUUCCUCAACCAGGCUUGGGCAGAAUAGCAGAGCAAGUAUUAGUAGCAUAACAAAAAAGCCUUCCUCGUCAUUAAUAUCUUUGCUCGCGAAAAUUGUGACCUCUCAAGAGAAUCGAUGACUGCAUCAAAGAUGCAGUGCUAAUACAUUUGAUACUUCUUAAUUGGAUAGUUGUAAAUAGCCCCACCCCGGGCUAUGGAACAAAGGAUUAUCUCGAACCUAGACCGAGGUAUUGAUGGUGAUUUUCUAAUCUCGUAGAAUAGAAUAUGAUACGAUGAGAUAGAAUGAAAUAGAAACAAAGAUAGGGAAUGAGUUACCUACUUUUAACGGGCAAAGUGAGCCCCUUU